rnacentral:rRNA from 1 species
UACGUAGGGUGCAAGCGUUGUCCGGAAUUAUUGGGCGUAAAGAGUUCGUAGGCGGUCUGUCGCGUCGGUCGUGAAAACCUGCAGCUUAACUGUGGGCGUGCGGUCGAUACGGGCAUGACUGGAGUUCGGCAGGGGAGACUGGAAUUCCUGGUGUAGCGGUGAAAUGCGCAGAUAUCAGGAGGAACACCGGUGGCGAAGGCGGGUCUCUGGGCCUGACCUGACGCUGAGGAGCGAAAGCGUGGGGAGCGAACAGG